rnacentral:rRNA from 1 species
UACGGAGGGUGCAAGCGUUGUCCGGAUUUAUUGGGUUUAAAGGGUGCGUAGGCGGUUCUUUAAGUCCGGGGUGAAAGCCCACUGCUCAACAGUGGAACUGCCCUGGAAACUGGCGAACUUGAGUACAGACGAGGGUGGCGGAAUGGAUGGUGUAGCGGUGAAAUGCAUAGAUACCAUCCAGAACCCCGAUUGCGAAGGCAGCUGCCUAGAC